AGGCGGCGCCAAUACUGCAAGUCGAGCGGACAGAUGGGAGCUUGCUCCCUGAUGUUAGCGAGCAGCUUGCUGCUUUGCUGACGAGUGGCGGACGGGUGAGUAAUGUCUGGGAAACUGCCUGAUGGAGGGGGAUAACUACUGGAAACGGUAGCUAAUACCGCAUAACGUCGCAAGACCAAAGAGGGGGACCUUCGGGCCUCUUGCCAUCGGAUGUGCCCAGAUGGGAUUAGCUAGUAGGUGGGGUAACGGCUCACCUAGGCGACGAUCCCUAGCUGGUCUGAGAGGAUGACCAGCCACACUGGAACUGAGACACGGUCAAGACUCCUACGGGAGGCAGCAGUGGGGAAUAUUGCACAAUGGGCGCAAGCCUGAUGCAGCCAUGCCGCGUGUAUGAAGAAGGCCUUCGGGUUGUAAAGCACUUUCAGCGGGGAGGAAGGCGAUAAGGUUAAUAACCUUGUCGAUUGACGUUACCCGCAGAAGGCGUAAAGCGCACGCAGGCGGUCUGUCAAGUCGGAUGUGAAAUCCCCGGGCUCAACCUGGGAACUGCAUUCGAAACUGGCAGGCUAGAGUCUUGUAGAGGGGGGUAGAAUUCCAGGUGUAGCGGUGAAAUGCGUAGAGAUCUGGAGGAAUACCGGUGGCGAAGGCGGCCCCCUGGACAAAGACUGACGCUCAGGUGCGAAAGCGUGGGGAGCAAACAGGAUUAGAUACCCUGGUAGUCCACGCCGUAAACGAUGUCGACUUGGAGGUUGUGCCCUUGAGGCGUGGCUUCCGGAGCUAACGCGUUAAGUCGACCGCCUGGGGAGUACGGCCGCAAGGUUAAAACUCAAAUGAAUUGACGGGGGCCUGCACAAGCGGUGGAGCAUGUGGUUUAAUUCGAUGCAACGCGAAGAACCUUACCUACUCUUGACAUCCAGAGAACUUUCCAGAGAUGGAUUGGUGCCUUUCGGGAACUCUGAGACAGGUGCUGCAUGGCUGUCGUCAGCUCGUGUUGUGAAAUGUUGGGUUAAGUCCCGCAACGAGCACAACCCUUAUCCUUUGUUGCCAGCGGUUAGGCCGGGAACUCAAAGGAGACUGCCAGUGAUAAACUGGAGGAAGGUGGGGAUGACGUCAAGUCAUCAUGGCCCUUACGAGUAGGGCUAAAAUAUAUACGCGCGUGCGACGUGUACAAAGAGAAGCGACCCGAGAGCAAGCGGACCUCAUAAAGUGCGUCGUAGUCCGGAUUGGAGUCUGCAACUCGACUCCAUGAAGUCGGAAUCGCUAGUAAUCGUGGAUCAGAAUGCCACGGUGAAUACGUUCCCGGGCCUUGUACACACCGCCCGUCACACCAUGGGAGUGGGUUGCAAAAGAAGUAGGUAGCUUAACCUUCGGGAGGGCGCUUACCACUUUGUGAUUCAUGACUGGGGUGAAGUCGUAACAAGGUAGCCGUACGGGACAGAUGAUUGGGGGAAGUCGUAACAA
rnacentral:rRNA from 1 species